rnacentral:rRNA from 1 species
AUUGAACGCUGGCGGCAGGCCUAACACAUGCAAGUCGAGCGAGCGGCGGACGGGUGAGUAAUGUAUGGGGACUGCCCGAUAGAAGGGGGUAAAUCCUGGAAAAGGUAUCUAAUACCGCACAUUCCCUGAUAACCCCUAUGGGAUUAGCUAGUAGGUGGGGUAAUGGCUCACCUAGGCGACGAUCCCUAGCUGGUCUGAGAGGAUGAUCAGCCACACUGGGACGGAGACACGGCCCAGACUCCUACGGAGGCAGCAGUGGGGAAUAUUGCACAAUGGGCGCAAGCCUGAUGCAGCCAUGCCGCGUGUAUGAAGAAGGCCUUCGGGUUGUAAAGUACUUUCAGUGGGGAGGCGUUACCGGCAGAAGAAGCACCGGCUAACUCCGUGCCAGCAGCCGCGGUAAUAC